GUUCCGAUCAGAUGCCAGGGGUUUGGAGCUCGCUUCCAGCUGUGGGCUCGCCGUCUGUAGCAGUGAUGCUUCGGGAUCACUCGUGAUAAUUUGAAGCUUGUUGAGCAUACCGAUUAUUGUGCUUUUUCAGUCUUCUGGCCAGGGUUUAGCUGGCACGCGUGGUGCCGUGAGGCAAGCAGUGCCUAUUUUCUGUAACACUGCAAGGUGGCAGCCUACGGCUUCGGAGGUGGCUGUGCAGUAAUCAGAUAAACACUGCUUCUACACAAAUCCAUCCGAAUGUGAACCUUUUAAUCUGUACAGUGUCUCCUAUAUUAUCUGAUGUUCUGUCGCCAUUUGUUUUCCCCUCGCUUUUCAGCACGCCGUCAAUGCCAGUCCUGCACCAGUUGUCAGAGGAAGAAGGAUGAUUUGGGUGAUUUUCUGUCCUCGGAGAGGUGGCAGGACACCCUGAGUGACACGAUCCCUUCAGUCUGGCUGCAGGACAGGAGCUUAGCCUGAGCUGGACAACUGCCCACGUGGGUGCACGGUGCAAUUCCAGCAGGACGUGAGAGCAGAGAGGAGGAGAAAUGGGAAAGGAAAAAAAAGUUUUGGCACGGCUGAAGCAAGGACCUUGGUGGCAGUGCCACCCGAGGAGUUCGAACCUGCUGUGCAGUUCCACAGAUCAGCCCUUCCUCCGAAGUGGAACAGCACGGGGUGAAAUCUUCAGCUUUCAUGGCCAGGAAGAAACACUAACAAAGCCAAAUGAGCAGCUCUUGAGUACCCCAGGGACCUUAAGAACAUCCAUGA
rnacentral:lncRNA from 1 species